CUUAUUUCCGUUCAACCGAACCCAAAUUUGCCUCCCCCCUCUUUUUAUUUAUUUAUCGACCGCCUAUCUCACCAUCAUCAUUAUCGUUGUCUCGAGCUCAAAACCCUCACUAUCAUGUUUCAAUUCGCUAUAAGGAGAGCAGCGACUGGAACUAGAUCACUAGGUUCGAGAUUUUACACAACGGGGAGCAGAUCCGAUGCUCCUCAUCACGAGGGAGUCGCUCGCCAAAUGAUCCAGUACGCGCUCGGGCACGCUUGAUCUGAGAAAUCAGGAGAAUCGUACGCUCAAGCGAUGAUGAUAUUGGAGCAAGGGCGGUCGAAUCUUGAAGGUGGUGGUGAUACUGAGAAUGCUAGGGAACUGUUCAUGCUCGCUAUGUCCACCUUGAUCUAUGAAAGAGGGGAGAUUGGAGAUGCCUUGGAGACGCUCCAGAUGGUUCGCCAGUCCGAGCGUGCAUCUCAUACGCUCAAAGAUUCGAGGGACUGGAUUGAUUCUUGGAACAGAAUUCACCGAUAACAAGUCUCCUAAUGAUAUUUUCCCAUCUGAAUGGCGGACCGUACCUCGAGGACGCUGAUUGGAGCGGGUGAGCUUUCGAGGGGGGUUUAUUGGUACAAAGCUAUACAGACGCAUUCAGCAAUGAAAGUAAAGCGAGAUGACUCACACUUAGUUUGGCAUCAACGACUGGGACAUCAAAAUAGUCGGCAUCUAUCUUUUAUCUCGGAUAUUGGUCAUUUUGAUUCUAUAAAUAAGCUUGUCUGUGAUGUUUGCUAUAGAGCUAAACAGACACGAUCUCCUUUCCCUUUGAGUAAGAGUAAUGCUACUACUUGUUUUGAAUUAGUUCAUUGUGAUUUAUGGGGACCAUAUUCAAAACCUGCUUCAUGUGGUGCAUUCUAUUUCCUCACUUUGGUUGAUGAUUAUAGUAGAGGAGUUUGGGUUUAUUUAAUGAAAGAAAAGAGUGAAGCUAAAAAAUUUCUUAUGCUAUUUUGUAAAUUCAUCAAGACACAAUUCGAUAAAUCUGUGAAGCGAAUUCGAAGUGAUAAUGGUCUUGAAUUUGAGGGGCCUAUGCGAACUUUUUAUGAGGAAAAUGGAAUAGUGCAUGAAACUAGUUGUACAUAUACACCCCAACAAAAUGGAAGA